rnacentral:piRNA from 1 species
UGCUUCUCUUUGAACUUUGAAGUCUCACC